AACAUCGCGCACCUGCGGGAACCUGCGGAAGGAUCAUUACAGAGUUGCAAAACUCCCACAAACCAUCGCGAAUCUUACCCGUACGGUUGCCUCGGCGCUGGCGGUCCGGAAGGCCCUCGGGCCCCCGGACCCUCGGGUCCCCCGCUCGCGGGGGGCUGCCCGCCGGAGUGCCGAAACCAAACUCUUGAUAUUUUAUGUCUCUCUGAGUAAACUUUUAAAUAAGUCAAAACUUUUAGCAAC
rnacentral:misc_RNA from 1 species